rnacentral:rRNA from 1 species
UACAGAGGGUGCAAGCGUUAAUCGGAAUUACUGGGCGUAAAGGGUGCGUAGGUGGUUUGAUAAGUUAGGUGUGAAAGCCCCGGGCUUAACCUGGGAAUUGCGCCUAAUACUGUUAGACUAGAGUACUGUAGAGGAAGGUGGAAUUUCCGGUGUAGCGGUGAAAUGCGUAGAUAUCGGAAGGAACAUCAGUGGCGAAGGCGACUUUCUGGACAGAUACUGACACUGAGGCACGAAGGCCAGGGGAGCAAACGGG